rnacentral:rRNA from 1 species
AGUGAACGCUGGCGGUAGGCCUAACACAUGCAAGUCGAACGGCAGCACAGUAAGAGCUUGCUCUUACGGGUGGCGAGUGGCGGACGGGUGAGGAAUACAUCCGAAUCUACUUUUUCGUGUGGGUUAACGUAGGGAAACUUACGCUAAUACCGCAUACGACCUACGGGUGAAAGCAGGGGAUCUUCGGACCUUGCGCGAUUGAAUGAGCCGAUGUCGGAUUAGCUAGUUGGCGGGGUAAAGGCCCACCAAGGCGACGAUCCGUUGCUGGUCUGAGAGGAUGGUCGGCCGCACUGGAACGGAGACACGGUCCAGAGUCCUGAGGGAGGGCGCAGUCGGGAAUGUUGGACAACGGGGGCAAACCUGGUACAGCCAUAGCGAGUGGGUGAAGGAGGCCCUCGGGUUGGAAAGACCUUUUGUUGGGAAAGAAAAGCAGCCGGUUAAUACCCCGCUUUUCUGACGGUACCCAAAGAAUAAGCACCGGCUAACUUCGUG